AAGGCAAACCAGUCUAUCGCUGUUCGUCAAUUGACGAAGGGAGGAAAGUCUGGGCAGCACAGAGCAACGUACUUCUUAACGGGAAGGUACCCAGUUAGGGUAACAGAAAGUGCCACAGAAAGUAAACUACCCGAAUGAAAGUUCCGCAUGUCGAAACGGAAGUUUGGGAAAAGGUGAAAAGGUGAGGUAAGAGCUCACCGGUUUGUUGGUGACAACAUGCGCAAGGUAAACCUUACGUGCUGAAAGACCAUGUAUACCUCGUUCAGUUAUUAACUGAAAGAGUUGCUCGCUCUUAUUUUGCGGGGAGGGUAGGUCGAUUGACGUUAACGGUGACGUUAACGCUAGAUAAAUGAUAGACGUCACGUCUGACGUGAUUACAGAACCCGGCUUAUGGUUUGCCUUUUUU
rnacentral:RNase_P_RNA from 1 species